rnacentral:rRNA from 1 species
UACGAAGGUGGCAAGCGUUGUUCGGAUUUACUGGGCGUAAAGGGAGCGUAGGUGGUCGGGUAAGCCCCGCGGGAAAGCUCCAGGCUUAACCUGGAAAGGUCGCGGGGGACUGCGCGGCUAGAGGACGGGAGAGGAGCGCGGAAUUCCCGGUGUAGCGGUGAAAUGCGUAGAGAUCGGGAGGAAGGCCGGUGGCGAAGGCGGCGCUCUGGAACGGCCCUGACACUGAAGCUCGAAAGCGUGGGGAGCAAACAGG